AGCAGCCGCGGUAAUUCCAGCUCCAAUAGCGUAUAUUAAAGUUGUUGCAGUUAAAAGCUCGUAGUUGAAUUUUGGAUUCUGCCAAUUGGUCCAUCUUUUAGAUGAGUACUGGUUGUGUGGGGUCUAUCCGCCUGGUGAUACGUAAUGUCCUUUAUUGGAUGUUGCGGGUAGUCAGGACCUUUACCUUGAAAAAUUAGAGUGUUUAAAGCAGGCUUAUGCCGGAAUACAUUAGCAUGGAAUAAUAGAAUAGGACGAAGUUGUUUUAUUUUGUUGGUUUCUAGGACAACCGUAAUGAUUAAUAGGGAUAGUUGGGGGCAUUAGUAUUCAAUUGUCAGAGGUGAAAUUCUUGGAUUUAUUGAAGACUAACUACUGCGAAAGCAUUUGCCAAGGAUGUUUUCAUUAAUCAAGAACGAAAGUUAGGGGAUCGAAGACGAUCAGAUACCGUCGUAGUCUUAACCAUAAACUAUGCCGACUAGGGAUCGGGCGAUGUUGUUUCCAUGACUCG
rnacentral:rRNA from 1 species